UCUCCAUUAAUUAAGGGGAGGAAGUCAAUGCAUCAGUCGUUCGUUUACCCCCGAUCGAGCCCGUCUCAUUCCCCAAUCAACCGCCCGCCUAGCUCCCCUGUAUCCACAUUCUUCUUCCACAGCCCGCGUUCGCCCGGCCGCCGCAGCCUCGCCGCCCCAUCCCCCGAUGCCCUCUCCGACGCCGCUUCCCCGCGCCGCGCCACCAUCUUCUGUCCUGUGAAACCCCACCUGCUCCUCUUCAGGCAACCCGUCGAGAAAGACGCGGCUCCGGCUGGGCCUCGCCGGACGACUAACCGUCUGCGGCCGUCUUCUUCUCGGCCGCGGAAUCAAGCGCCGCCCCUCCUAGCCGUCCCCAGCCACCUCGACUUCUCAUCGACAAGGUAGAGGAGGACGGCCACAGGGAGGAUGGUGGAAAACAGGUUGGUCAUGAGGAGUUGCUGACGUCGCCGUCCGGAUUGGGCGAUGCAGCCCCGACGAGCAGGCCAUCUAGUCCAACCUCGAGCUCGCCGUCCAGCCCCGCACAAGAGCUCUGUCACGUGCAAUGGCGAGGCUUGGUGAACGAGCAGGCAGCUCCCGCCUCGAUGUUGUCAUUUCAAUCCUGGCUGGCCAAGGGCGAGCACUUCUCCCGAUUCAGGCUAGCUAUGUACGUAUCAGAAUAAACGAUGGGGAUCGAUGUGGUACACUUGAUCUUCAGCCUGCGGCCAGCCCUGACCUACACUGACAUGGAAAUUUAAAGGACUAGGCGUCCACCUCACUCUCGCUCAACCCUGCCGCCAUCCGGGUGCAGCAAGGCUCGAUGCCUGCAAGGACUUGCUGCCGACGAUGGUUCGCCGAUGCGGACCAAGAGUCGUUGUCCAGGCCCUCCACCAGCACGUCGCCGCCACCCCCUCAACUCCGGUUAUGCUCCACGAGAGCAAGACCACCACGUACGAGAAGGUAGCCACCACCCAUUUUCCUUGUUGGCUACUUCUGUUGGGUCGUUGAUGCUAAGAUGCUGUUGUUGUAUGUGAUCUUUGUGUUGUGCUAAAUUUGGGUCAGAUUAAUUUGGUCUUUAGUUGUAGAGACAAAAAUAUGAUAACAAAUUGUACUGUAAGACAUAAUAAGAAUAUAUGAUGAGAUGAUGAAACUGAUUUGGUGAAUUUGCUUCUCAUCUUUGCAUGCAUCUAUCUUGUAAUCGAUGAGGAGACCUGAAACCUGAGUGUCUCCAUGUAUGUAUCAUAUAUGCCGUUGGCUGUGUUGUGUUUAACAUAGCAGCAUUCGAGGGUGUCGAGAUCUAGUUGUAACCUGAGUUUGUGGUGCUCAAGUACAACUUCAUUCUUUUGGUAAAUGGUCAUGCAUGUGUAUAACAUAUGUCAGAGUUUGGUGCGGUCCGGUUUAAUUAGCUCGUUCUGCUUUCAUAUUAAUUAAGCCAAUGUUCAUAUAAGCACACGAAGCGAAAUAACCGUUUAUGUACAAUCAGAUUAAAACCUAAAUAUUUAGUUAAACAUGGUUUGGUAGAGGCCCUAAUAUUCUUCUAAUUUGGUCAUCUACAACACAACCUGAAGUUAAUUAGUUUCAAGAUACUAAUUGCAUUUAACUGGUACUGUUGAAGGGGCGCAUCUAAUCAGGAACAACGAAUUCCU